CUUUUAUUGAGAGUUUGAUCCUGGCUCAGGACGAACGCUGGCGGCGUGCCUAAUACAUGCAAGUCGAACGCUUUGAUUUUCACCGGAGCUUGCUCCACCGAAAAUCAAAGAG
rnacentral:rRNA from 1 species